CCCUUUCGACGAGUCGAGUUGUUUGGGAAUGCAGCUCUAAAUGGGUGGUAAAUUUCAUCUAAAGUUAAAUACCUGCCAGAGACCGAUAGCGCACAAGUAGAGUGAUCGAAAGAUGAAAAGCACUUUGAAAAGAGAGUCAAACAGUACGUGAAAUUGUUGAAAGGGAAGCGCUUGCAAUCAGACUCGUUUGCAGAGGUUCAGCCGUUCUUCGGGAUGGUGUAUUCUUCUGUCAACGGGCCAGCAUCAGUUUCGACGGCUGGAUAAAGAUUUUGGGAACGUAGCUCUCUUCGGAGAGUGUUAUAGCCUGNAUUGUAAUGCAGCAGUUGAGACUGAUGUCCGCGCUUUUG
rnacentral:rRNA from 1 species